GCCAGGCGUGGUGACUCACGCCUGUAAUCCCAGCACUUUGGGAGGCCGAGGCGGGUGGAUCACCUGAGGUCGGGAGUUCCAGACCAGCCUGACCAACAUGGAGAAACCCCGUCUCUA
rnacentral:sRNA from 1 species